rnacentral:rRNA from 1 species
UACGUAGGGGGCAAGCGUUGUCCGGAUUCAUUGGGCGUAAAGCGCGGGCAGGCGGCCCGUCAAGUCGGCCGUGAAAGCGCCGGGCUCAACUCGGCGAGGACGGGCGAGACUGACGGGCUCGAGGUUGGCAGAGGGCGGUGGAAUUCCGGGUGUAGUGGUGGAAUGCGUAGAGCUCCGGAGGAACACCAGUGGCGAAGGCGGCCGCCUGGGCCAAUACUGACGCUGAGCCGCGAAAGCGUGGGGAGCGAGCCGG